GUGCGGCCCGAAUUUACGCGCUGCGCCUUUUAAAUCACAAUUAUAACUUACGGCGCAGCCAUGAUUUCCCUGGUGUUGGCGCAGUAUUCGCGCACCCCGGUCAAGCC
rnacentral:sRNA from 2 species